UACGUAGGGGGCAAGCGUUGUCCGGAUUUAUUGGGCGUAAAGAGCGUGUAGGCGGUUCGGUAGGUCCGUUGUGAAAACUCGAGGCUCAACCUCGAGACGCCGAUGGAAACCCUCGAACUAGAGUCCGGAAGAGGAGAAUGGAAUUCCUGGUGUAGCGGUGAAAUGCGCAGAUAUCAGGAAGAACACCCGUGGCUAAGGCGGUUCUCUAGUACGGUACUGACGCUGAGACGCGAAAAGCGUGGGGAGCGAACAGG
rnacentral:rRNA from 1 species